rnacentral:rRNA from 1 species
GAUGAACGCUGGCGGCGUGCCUAAUACAUGCAAGUCGAGCGAACAGACGAGGAGCUUGCUCCUCUGACGUUAGCGGCGGACGGGUGAGUAACACGUGGAUAACCUACCUAUAAGACUGGGAUAACUUCGGGAAACCGGAGCUAAUACCGGAUAAUAUAUUGAACCGCAUGGUUCAAUAGUGAAAGACGGUUUUGCUGUCACUUAUCGAUGGAUCCGCGCCGCAUUAGCUAGUUGGUCAGGUAACGGCCUACCAAGGCAACGAUGCGUAGCCGACCUGUGAGGGUGAUCGGCCGCCCGGGAGCUGAGACACCGUCCAGACGCCUACGGGAGGCAGCAGUAGGCAAUCUUCCGCAGUGGGCGAAAGCCUGGCGGAGCAACGCCGCGUGAGUGAUGAAGGUCUUCGGAUCGUAAAACUCUGUUAUUAGUGAAGAACAAAUGUGUAAGUAACUAUGCACGUCUUGACGGUACCUAAUCAGAAAGCCACGGCUAACUACGUG